AAACCAACAGGGAUUGCCUUAGUAGCGGCGAGUGAAGCGGCAAAAGCUCAAAUUUGAAAUCUGCUCUUUCAGAGUCCGAGUUGUAAUUUGAAGAAGGUAUCUUUGGGUCUGGCUCUUGUCUAUGUUUCUUGGAACAGAACGUCACAGAGGGUGAGAAUCCCGUGCGAUGAGAUGAUCCAGGCCUAUGUAAAGUUCCUUCGAAGAGUCGAGUUGUUUGGGAAUGCAGCUCUAAGUGGGUGGUAAAUUCCAUCUAAAGCUAAAUAUUGGCGAGAGACCGAUAGCGAACAAGUACAGUGAUGGAAAGAUGAAAAGAACUUUGAAAAGAGAGUGAAAAAGUACGUGAAAUUGUUGAAAGGGAAGGGCUUGAGAUCAGACUUGGUAUUUUGUAUGUUACUUCUUCGGGGGUGGCCUCUACAGUUUAUCGGGCCAGCAUCAGUUUGGGCGGUAGGAGAAUUGCGUUGGAAUGUGGCACGGCUUCGGUUGUGUGUUAUAGCCUUCGUCGAUACUGCCAGCCUAGACUGAGGACUGCGGUUUAUACCUAGGAUGUUGGCAUAAUGAUCUUAAGUCGCCCGUCUG
rnacentral:rRNA from 1 species